AGUGGCAGACGGGUGCGUAACGCGUGGGAACCUGCCCUUUAGUAAGGAAUAACUCAGGGAAACUUGUGCUAAUACCUUAUAAUCCCUUCGGGGGAAAGCUUUAUGCGCUAAUGGAUGGGCCCGCGUUAGAUUAGCUUGUUGGUGAGGUAAUGGCUCACCAAGGCGACGAUCUAUAGCUGGUCUGAGAGGAUGAUCAGCCACACUGGGACUGAGACACGGCCCAGACUCCUACGGGAGGCAGCAGUGGGGAAUAUUGGACAAUGGGGGCAACCCUGAUCCAGCGAUGCCGCGUGAGUGAUGAAGGCCUUAGGGUUGUAAAACUCUUUCGCUAGGGAAGAUAAUGACGGUACCUAGUAAAGAAGAUCCGGCUAACUCCGUGCCAGCAGCCGCGGUAAUACGGAGGGAUCUAGCGUUAUUCGGAAUAACUGGGCGUAAAGCGAGCGUAGGCGGAUUUGUAAGUUGGAGGUGAAAUCCCAGGGCUUAACCCUGGAACUGCCUUCAAAACUACAUUUCUUGAGUUUGGUAGAGGAGAGUGGAAUUCCUAGUGUAGAGGUGAAAUUCGUAGAUAUUAGGAGGAACACCAGUGGCGAAGGCGACUCUCUGGGCCAAUACUGACGCUGAGGUUCGAAAGCGUGGGGAGCAAACGGGAUUAGAUACCCCGGUAGUCCACGCAGA
rnacentral:rRNA from 1 species